ACCUUUCUCAAUGAUUGACCUCGGAUCAGGCAGGGAUACCCGCUGAACUUAA
rnacentral:rRNA from 1 species